UGAAAUGUUUUCAUUUCUAGUUAGUUCAUUACUUAUACACUAAAUUGUUGUGUAGCCUUCAAAAGCCUUCAAAUGCAAAAGGUAAGAUUGCAGGCUUUCAGAGAUUCAGAGAAUGGAUGAUUGGCUUCCUUUAACCAGAUUUAAAAUGUACCCAGCCUUUGCAAGUCAGGCACAUGUAUUGAUUUAAUAAUUAAAUGCCAUAUUCUCAUUCCCUGUUCUACCCAUGCAUUUUUCCUCAGGCGGUGAAUAUGAAUGUUGAAGAAUUUGAGAGUCUAGACUUCAGUGGGUAGUCAAAGUUGGUAAAAGAAAUGCACUUCAUGUCAUGCCAAAACAAUUCUAAAAGCAUUUGCAGUUCUCGUAAUUGAGAGUUUAGCAAGACACACGAUCCUCACUGGAUUCCUCAAAUGUCAUAGAGUUUUUUAAAGGACAAAGGAACAGAGUUGGAUACUAAGCACAAGAAGAACAAAGCAAAGUGAGCUAUACCUCCUGUCUUAAGAGGACUCCUGCUCUAGUGAGUGAGAAAAAUUGUUAACUAUACCAAGAUGAAGGAACUAGGAUAACAAGAAGGCGAAGUGCUUUGUCAAAGCCUGCACAACAAAUCAGCAGCAGAUUCAAUACAGGACACCCUAGGUGGUACAUGGAUGACAACAUCUGCCUGAAGAUCAUAGAAAACAAAACUGAAUUGUCAUGAAAUCAAUAGUCAAUAAAUCAAUGAAAAUAAGGAGAAAGUAAACUGAAAGAGAAAGAAUGGCUUCCAAUCCAA